AACGAACGCUGGCGGCAGGCUUAACACAUGCAAGUCGAGCGCGUAGCAAUACGAGCGGCAGACGGGUGAGUAACGCGUGGGAAUCUACCCAACCCUACGGAAUAACGCAUGGAAACGUGUGCUAAUACCGUAUACGCCCUUAGGGGGAAAGAUUUAUCGGGGAUGGAUGAGCCCGCGUUGGAUUAGCUAGUUGGUGGGGUAAAGGCCUACCAAGGCGACGAUCCAUAGCUGGUCUGAGAGGAUGAUCAGCCACAUUGGGACUGAGACACGGCCCAAACUCCUACGGGAGGCAGCAGUGGGGAAUAUUGGACAAUGGGCGCAAGCCUGAUCCAGCCAUGCCGCGUGAGUGAUGAAGGCCUUAGGGUUGUAAAGCUCUUUUACCCGAGAUGAUAAUGACAGUAUCGGGAGAAUAAGCUCCGGCUAACUCCGUGCCAGCAGCCGCGGUAAUGUGACUACUG
rnacentral:rRNA from 1 species